rnacentral:rRNA from 1 species
UACGUAGGGGGCAAGCGUUGUCCGGAUUUAUUGGGCGUAAAGAGCUCGUAGGCGGUUUGUUGCGUCGGCUGUGAAAACCUGAGGCUCAACCUCAGGCCUGCAGUCGAUACGAGCAGACUAGAGUGUUGCAGGGGAGACUGGAAUUCCUGGUGUAGCGGUGAAAUGCGCAGAUAUCAGGAGGAACACCGGUGGCGAAGGCGGGUCUCUGGGCAACAACUGACGCUGAUGCGCGAAAGCUAGGGGAGCGAACGGG